AACGUCGGAAUCUGCCUAUUUGUGGGGGAUAACGUAGGGAAACUUACGCUAAUACCGCAUACGACCUACGGGUGAAAGUGGGGGACCGCAAGGCCUCACGCAGAUAGAUGAGCCGACGUCGGAUUAGCUAGUUGGCGGGGUAAAGGCCCACCAAGGCGACGAUCCGUAGCUGGUCUGAGAGGAUGAUCAGCCACACUGGAACUGAGACACGGUCCAGACUCCUACGGGAGGCAGCAGUGGGGAAUAUUGGACAAUGGGCGCAAGCCUGAUCCAGCCAUGCCGCGUGUGUGAAGAAGGCCUUCGGGUUGUAAAGCACUUUUGUCCGGAAAGAAAAGCUUAGGGUUAAUAACCUUGAGUCAUGACGGUACCGGAAGAAUAAGCACCGGCUAACUUCGUGCCAGCAGCCGCGGUAAUACGAAGGGUGCAAGCGUUACUCGGAAUUACUGGGCGUAAAGCGUGCGUAGGUGGUUUGUUAAGUCUGAUGUGAAAGCCCUGGGCUCAACCUGGGAAUGGCAUUGGAAACUGGCUUACUAGAGUGCGGUAGAGGGUAGUGGAAUUCCCGGUGUAGCAGUGAAAUGCGUAGAUAUCGGGAGGAACAUCUGUGGCGAAAGGCGACUACCUGGACCAGCACUGACACUGAGGCACGAAAGCGUGGGGGAGCAACAGGAUUAGAUACCCUGGUAGUCCAC
rnacentral:rRNA from 1 species